UGGUAGAUGCACCCUGAUUAUUCGUCCCUAACUUGCCUUGUAGUAAGUUGGGGCUUUUUAU
rnacentral:sRNA from 1 species